rnacentral:rRNA from 1 species
UAGCGGCGAGCGAACGGGGAGGAGCCCAGAGCCUGAAUCAGUGUGUGUGUUAGUGGAAGCGUCUGGAAAGGCGCGCGAUACAGGGUGACAGCCCCGUACACAAAAAUGCACAUACUGUGAGCUCGAUGAGUAGGGCGGGACACGUGGUAUCCUGUCUGAAUAUGGGGGGACCAUCCUCCAAGGCUAAAUACUCCUGACUGACCGAUAGUGAACCAGUACCGUGAGGGAAAGGCGAAAAGAACCCCGGCGAGGGGAGUGAAAAAGAACCUGAAACCGUGUACGUACAAGCAGUGGGAGCCUCUUUUAUGGGGUGACUGCGUACCUUUUGUAU